AUCACUUCCGGGAGCAGAGGUGGGCUUGUGUAAGAUGGCGGCAGUAUCUGCGGCUUCUGCGAAGAGGAAGAGCGGCGGCAGCCCGGCCGGUGGUCGGGCGGUGUUGACGAGCAAGAGGGAGCCCAGUGUCAAGCUUCAGUACCCGGUGAGCGGCCCCGAGCCGCUCAGUUGGUCCGAGGACAACCGGCUCUCCAUCACCACCGGGAAAAACAUCUAUGUCCUGGAGCAGAUUUGCGACAUCCAUAACAACGGGCUGGACAUGGUGAUCCAUAGGACCUCGGUCCCUGCACCCAGCCAGAGCUGCUCUCUCAAGGUUGGCUCUCAGGCAGAAGUAAGUGGCUGCAAGGAAAAGUUCCUGAGUAAAAAAGAUCCAACUCUAAGUCAUUCCCUAAUGAUGGACAGGGUCUUUAAUCCUGAAGGGGGCGCUUUAUCACCAUUGCGAGGGUUUAAAUUUACCAGCUGGUCUCCCUUGGGUUGUGACUUCAAUGGAAGGUGUCUAUUGGCAUCUUUGACGCUGGACAAUAGACUGUCCAUCCAAGUGAAUGUGAACAGGUUGCAGUGGACGCCAGCUUUAGAUAUUACAGAGGUGUACGGUGAGAUGCUGUACGAGAACAAAUACGGGCAUUUGGAUGCGGAUCUGGGUGGGGAGUUGAAGAAUUUCUCUGAAUUCCAAAGGAGACAUUAUAUGCAGACUCCUGUUAGAAUGGAAUGGUCCAGUAUCUGCAACACCCAACGUGUGAAAGCCAACAAUGAGUGUGAAGACGUGGGCACUGUACUGUUGGCCGUCCUACUUGAAAAUGGUGAUGUUGUUAUUUGGCAAUUUCAAAUCCCAUUUCAUGGUAAAGGUUCUAUCAUUGCGUGCAGUACCAUUGAAUCAGGUAUUAAUGACCCAAGUGUUCUGGCAUGGUGGGAAUAUGAGCAUGGUAGUCGCAAAAUGAGUGGGUUAAUUGUUGGCAGUUCCAAAGGACCUGUCAAGAUUCUGCCAGUCAACUUGAAAGCAGUGAAAGGAUACUUCACACUCAGACAACCAGUGGUUCUUUGGCAAGAGAUGGAUCAGUUACCUGUGCACAAUAUUAGAUGUAUCUCCCUCUACCACCCCUAUCAGAAGUGCAGCUGCAGCUUGGUUGUGGCAGCCAGAGGAACCUAUGUUUUCUGGUGCCUGCUAUUAAUAUCCAAAGCUGGACUGAAUGUUCACAAUUCUCAUGUGACAGGCCUCCACACUCUUCCCAUUGUGUCUCUGACAGCCAACAAACAAACUGCGAGUUUCUACACCUGCUCUGUUGAUGGGACCAUCCGAAAGCUGACUCCUCUCUUCACAGAUGUAGCGGUAAAGUUUGAUCAUACAUUAAUCAAACUGCCAGAGUCAAUUGGCACAGUGAGACUUCAUGGGAUAUGUCUCAGCCCAAAUAAUGCAUACCUCGCUCUUGUGACAGCAGAAGGUAUAAAUAAUGGCCUCCACCCAGCCAGCCGCACAUACCAGGUGCAGUUUAUCACGUUAAAAACUCCAGAAGAAGCAGCUUCUAAAAUUUUAGAAUCUUCCAUCCACAAUUUAUUCAAACAGGUGGACUUACUUGACCUUGUACGCUGGCGGGUGUUGACAGAAAAACGUAUUCCUCCAGAGCUCGAUGAAGCUCUAGAUCAUAAACUCCAGACAAAUCCGUCUAACUACUUAUGGCGGUUAAGACUUUUUCUCUUAAAGAUUUUAUUUCAGACCCUACAGAAGGCACCCUCUGAAGCACUUUGGAGACCAAAUCAUCAUGAGUCAAAGAUUCUACUUCGUGACAACUCUGCAUUGUUAAGUGAGGAUAGUCGGCAGCCAGAUGAGGCAGAGACAAGUGCAAAAGGUAGUCAACCAAGCAAAGGGGUUGGGAGUCAAGCAGAGGACUUGACAGUUGACCCAAAAGACGGCAACGCUGAAGACCAGGUUCGAGAGAAGAUUGCAAGGAAAUUGAAUGCGAUUCAGGCUAACAUUGAAGUUGUAGAGCUCCACCUGACACGCGAACAUAUGAAACGAGUUCUGGGUGAAGUGUACCUUCACACCUGGAUUACUGAGAACACCAGUGUCCCAACUAGAGGCAUUUGUGACUUCUUGACCUCUGACCCCAGCUACGAUGAUAGGACAGCCAAGGUUUUAGAAUGUGUGCGCUGCUUCUAAUGAGCUUGCUUCAACUCCCAGCAGUGUCAGAGGAGACGAUUGGUGGGUGACAGAGUCAGGGAUUCCCAGCUGGGUAUAUUGUGGGUUAGAUGCACCAUCCCCACCAACGUGCCUUGACUUAGACAGAUCCUCCUACUGUACUGCUUGUGAUGAUUCCAGUUUGAAUCUCAGACUUCUGAGUUUACAGCUGAGAGAUUAACUCAGGUUUGAAAUCUGCUUGGACAUAUUCCUGUUUACUUACUGAAUUUCUUAAGGUUUUGGUUUAAGUCCUCAUUUUCUUCAUGAAUGUCUGUGGGGCUGCUGUAGGUGUUUGCCUUCCUGAUGCUCCUGUACAAUUCCAUAUUAAUAACAUAAAUUUAUGUACUGCAAUCUCCAUUAGUUGAUCUAUUAAUGUAAGCCACUGGUGAACAUUUUAUUUUUUGUGGCCAAAGAUGACAUGAUACAUGGUUUUACCAAUACUAGAAAGAUAUAUUUGUUAUGUUGCUUAUGUGGCACAACUAAUAUAACAAGUUGAUCAUUAUGGUUGCUUCCAUGUAUAACAUAUCUAUUUUCUCAUGAUCAGUGUAUUAGGACCCUUUAAAUAAAAGAAAGGCAGUCUUUGUUUCUCAAAAGCCAAUACCAUUAUAAAAUGCUAUAAAACAAGCUUUUUGUAAUUUAUGGUACAGUAUUGCUAUUCUAACACAGCAGCCUGGAAUACCCACUAGGUUGCUUUGGCUUUCUCGGCACAAUUUCUUCUGUCUAAAAUCGGUCAAACCAGCACAAAAUACCAAGGGAUUUCAAGCAUUGAUUGUUCCAGUCAUCAUUUCAUGCUAGAUGUAAAAAAAAAAAAUUGCACGAGAAGUCAGCCAUGGACCCAUGUCGAAUUAAUCCUGAAGUUGCAUUUCCAGUAAUUGUGCCUGUUUGCAAGCCUUUGAGGAGGCUCUUAGAAUUAAGGUUUUUGGCACAGAACAUUACUAAGCACGUUUUAAAAGCUUUUAAAGUUUUAAUUUACUAAAAAUAAAACUGACUACUGUACACCAAUACAACCAGUGAAUGGUUCUGUAAAAUUUUAACUAGUUUUCAUUUACUUAAAUUUGGAUUAUUCACUGGUGGUGGACUAGCC